rnacentral:rRNA from 1 species
GACGAACGCUGGCGGCGUGCUUAACACAUGCAAGUCGAGCGGUAAGGCCCUUUCGGGGGUACGACGAGCGGCGAACGGGUGAGUAACACGUGGGUGACCUGCCCUCAGCUCUGGGAUAAGCCUGGGAAACUGGGUCUAAUACCGGAUAUGACUCCAUGACGCAUGUUGUGGGGUGGAAAGCCUUGUGCGGCUGAGGAUGGGCCCGCGGCCUAUCAGCUUGUUGGUGGGGUGANGGCCUACCAAGGCGACGACGGGUAGCCGGCCUGAGAGGGCGACCGGCCACACUGGGACUGAGACACGGCCCAGACUCCUACGGGAGGCAGCAGUGGGGAAUCUUGCGCAAUGGGCGAAAGCCUGACGCAGCGACGCCGCGUGAGGGAUGACGGCC